GAUGAACGCUGGCGGCGUGCUUAACACAUGCAAGUCGAACGGAAAGGCCAUGCUCUUGUGGGGUGCUCGAGUGGCGAACGGGUGAGUAAAACGUGAGUAACCUGCACCUAACAUUGGGAUAACUUCAGGAAAAUGGGGAGAAUACCGGAUAGGAUCUCCUGAUGCGUGGUGGGGGUUGGAAAGUUUCGGCGGUUGUGGCUGGACUAGCGGCUUAUCAGCUUGUUGGUGGAGUAGUGGAUGACCAAGGCUUCGAAGGAUAGCCGGCCUGAGAGCGGGACCGGCGUCAUUGCGACUAAGGGACGCAGCAGAAGCCUACGGGAGGCAGCAGUGGGGAGUAUUGCAGAAUGGGCGGAAGCGUGUGGUGACGAUGCCGCGUUCGGGAAGACGUCUUUUGAGUGAAAAACAUCUUUCGCCGGAGAUGAAGAGUGAGUGACGGUAAUUAGUCAGGAAGCACCGGCUAACUACGUG
rnacentral:rRNA from 1 species